rnacentral:lncRNA from 1 species
GUAUUUUUACCAUGCUGCAGAAGAAUUUGCUUCUUAUUUAAUAAAGUAAAUUAUUUUUUAAUUAGAUAUUAAUCAAAAUACGUAAUGAAGAGCCAAAAUUCAAUCUACGUUCGUCAUAUGACAGGUAUAAUUACAUGAAUUUUGAGUGAUGAAGUUUAUAUUCAUUUCAAAUUAGUUUCUAAAGUAUGAUUACAAAUUAAAUCAAAAUGCAGUGUAAGUCAUCAGAAGAAUUUGGAAGAGAGAUUACUUCCAAAGAAGAAAUUUGCCACAUGCUCACUAAAUAUAUAAAAUUACGUAAACUUCCCGAAUUAUUUUCAAAAUUAUUUGCCACUUUAGAAAAUGACUCAACAGAAAAGAAUUGGAUCUAUCCAGCAGAGUUCUUACAAGAUCUCUCAAGUCAGAUAAGUUAUCUUCCUGCUGGACAAAUUUUAGAAAUAUGGAAAAUAUGCUUAGUUCAUGGAUCAAAAUUACUAGAAAAUAUGCUUAGUUCAUGGAUCG